GACGGCCUUCGGGUUGUAAACUCCUUUCGCUAGGGACGAAGCUUUUUGUGACGGUACCUAGAUAAGAAGCACCGGCUAACUACGUGCCAGCAGCCGCGGUAAUACGUAGGGUGCGAGCGUUGUCCGGAAUUACUGGGCGUAAAGGGCUCGUAGGUGGUUUGUCGCGUCGUCUGUGAAAUUCCGGGGCUUAACUCCGGGCGUGCAGGCGAUACGGGCAUAACUUGAGUACUGUAGGGGUAACUGGAAUUCCUGGGGUAGCGGUGAAAUGCGCAUAUAUCAGGAGGAACACCGAUGGCGAAGGCAGGUUACUGGGCAGUUACUGACGCUGAGGAGCGAAAGCAUGGGUAGCGAACAGGAUUAGAUACCCUGGUAGUCCAUGCCGUAAACGGGGGGCGCUAGGUGUGAGGGUCUUUUCACGACUUUCGUGCCGUAGCUAACGCAUUAAGCGCCCCGCCUGGGGAGUACGGCCGCAAGGCUAAAACUCAAAGGAAAUUGACGGA
rnacentral:rRNA from 1 species